CACACUUCCCAGCUGUUGGCUAAGAUCAAGUGCAUCAUCUUUUCUUAUAGCUUUAAUAUCUGAUACAUCCUCAGUUUGAAGCUUUUAUAUUAAAUGGAUUUGGAGGUCAUGGGAAGGAGUAACCAUUUCCUUCAUCCACACUAUGCAUCAACCCAAAAAUGCAGCGCUUCCAGGUACUGUUGCAGCAUCA
rnacentral:snRNA from 1 species